rnacentral:rRNA from 1 species
GACGAACGCUGGCGGCGUGCCUAAUACAUGCAAGUCGAGCGGACGGAUGGGGAGCUUGCUCCCCUGAAGUCAGCGGCGGACGGGUGAGUAACACGUGGGCAACCUGCCUUACAGACUGGGAUAACUCCGGGAAACCGGGGCUAAUACCGGAUAAUCAAAGGAACCGCAUGGUUCCCUUGUAAAAGUUGGGUUUUACCUAACACUGUGAGAUGGGCCCGCGGCGCAUUAGCUUGUUGGUGAGGUAGUGGCUCACCAAGGCGACGAUGCGUAGCCGACCUGAGAGGGUGAUCGGCCACACUGGGACUGAGACACGGCCCAGACUCCUACGGGAGGCAGCAGUAGGGAAUCAUCCGCAAUGGACGAAAGUCUGACGGUGCAACGCCGCGUGAGUGAUGACGGUCUUCGGAUUGUAAAGCUCUGUUGUCAGGGAAGAACAAGUGCCGUUCGAACAGGGCGGCACCUUGACGGUACCUGACCAGAAAGCCCCGGCUAACUACGUGCCAGCAGCCGCGGUAAUACGUAGGGGGCAAGCGUUGUCCGGAAUUAUUGGGCGUAAAGCGCGCGCAGGCGGUUCUUUAAGUCUGAUGUGAAAGCCCACGGCUCAACCGUGGAGGGUCAUUGGAAACUGGGGAACUUGAGUGUAGGAGAGGAAAGUGGAAUUCCAAGUGUAGCGGUGAAAUGCGUAGAUAUUUGGAGGAACACCAGUGGCGAAGGCGAC